GACGAACGCUGGCGGCGUGCUUAACACAUGCAAGUCGAACGGAAAGGCCCUGCUUUUGUGGGGUGCUCGAGUGGCGAACGGGUGAGUAACACGGGAGUAACCUGCCCUUGACUUUUGGAUAACUUCAGGAAACUGGGGCCAAUACCGGAUAGGAGCACCUGCUGCAUGGUGGGGGUUGGAAAGUUUCGGCGGUUGGGGUUGUACUCGCGUCGUAUCAGCUUGUUGGUGGGGUAGUGGCUUACCAAGGCUUUGACGGGUAGGCGACCUGAGAGGGUAACCAGCCACCUUGGGACUGCGAUAGUGACCAGACUCCUACGGGCGGCAGCAGUGGCGAAUAUUGCACAAUGGGCGGACCGCUGAUGCAGCAACUCCGCGUGCGCGAUGACGGCCUUCGGGUUGUACUCGCCUUUCGCCUCUUACGUAGCGUCAGUGACAGUAAUGGGUACAGACGCACCGGCUAACUUCGUG
rnacentral:rRNA from 1 species